GUAUGCUUGACACAUGCAAGUCGAACGCGUAGAAAUACGAGUGGCGAACGGGUGAGUAAUAUACAGAAAUCUACCUUGAGGUGGGGGAUAACUUAGAGAAAUCUAAGCUAAUACCGCAUACUAUCGCAAGAUCAAAGCUUUUGUGCCUUGAGAUGAGUCCGUAUCUGAUUAGCUUGUUGGUGGGGUAAUAGCCUACCAAGGCAACAAUCAGUAAUUGGUCUGAGAGGAUGAUCAGUCACAGUGGAACUGAGACACGGUCCACACUCCUACGGGAGGCAGCAGUGGGGAAUUUUCCGCAAUGGGCGAAAGCCUGACGGAGCAAUACCGCGUGUAGGAUUAAGGCCCUAGGGUUGUAAACUACUGUCAGUGGGGAAGAAAAUGACGGUACCCACAAAGGAAGCACCGGCUAACUCUGUGCCAGCAGCCGCGGUAAGACAGAGGGUGCAAGCGUUAUCCGAAAUUACUGGGCGUAAAACGUCUGCAGGUGGCUAGUAAAGUCUACAGUUAAAUAGUUAAGCUCAACUUAAUCCCGCUGUAGAUACUUGCAAGCUUGAGUGUGCUAGGGGCUAUUGGAAUUCCCGGUGUAGUGGUGAAAUACGUAGAUAUCGGGAGGAACGCCAAAAGCGAAAGCAAAUAGCUGGAGCACUACUGACACUCAGAGACGAAAGCGUGGGGAGCAAAAAGGAUUAGAUACCCUUGUAGUCCACGCCGUAAACUAUGAAUACUAAAUGUUGUAAGAUUCGACCCUUACAGUAUUGAAGCUAACGCGUUAAGUAUUCUGCCUGGGGAGUACACUCGCAAGAGCGAAACUCAAAGGAAUUGACGGGGACCCGCACAAGAGGUGGAACAUGUGGUUUAAUUCGAUGCAACGCGAAGAACCUUACCUAGGCUUGACAUGCCAGAAAUUUUAGCGAAAGUUAAAAGUGUCCGCAAGGAAAUCUGGAUACAGGUGUUGCAUGGUUGUCGU
rnacentral:rRNA from 1 species